GGAUGUGGGGGCAAUCUGGCUGUGACAUCUGUCACCCCACUGAUUGGCAGGGUUGACUCAGCUGAUCUGGCCGGCUAGGCAGGUAUCCCCUUCCUCCCUUACAGCUUCCGAAGCUACAUGCUCCAUGGAAGAGGAAAACCACUCUCAAUAGAGGAGGACUGUUUCCUAGGCCAACAGUAUGAUAACUGCACUCCCCUGCUAGAAGCUCCAAACAAGCUCUCAAGGCCCAAUUCCACUGCACCAAUCUGUAUGUUUACCCAGGCUGGUACUACACUUUCUGUGGUUUUGCGGUAAAUUUUAAGAUUGGGAAAUGCGAGUUUUUAACUUU
ensembl:misc_RNA 7SK 7SK RNA